rnacentral:lncRNA from 1 species
UAAGGGAAAGCUGAGAAAUUGCCAAGCAACUAAAAUUUGGAAUUCUUGUUUCAGUUGGAGAAGAGUUCGUGAAUUCGAUAUCGCGAUAAUAAGAUAGGGUUCCAAGAAGCGGCGAAGCUAAUGCUCUGAAGGAGGAAAAGAAAUAUGUUGCUAUGUUCUCAAGACAUAUAUCAAAGAUGUUUCAGUCCUCACAGAACAGGAAAAGGUUAAUGGCUAGCCUGAAAGACUCCCAUUUGAACUUAGAAGCUCAAUAUUCAGUUGAAAGAGGAAUAAAGCCUAGUAAGAAAGAGUGAUAUUUUGUAGGGAUGUGUUUGAAAAUGUGCAGUGCUCUAGUAGCAUUUUGAA